CUUUCAUCCGAAAGUCAACGGCUCAGGGGCAGGGGUUUCUUUCGGCCUCCAGCCGACAUGGAAUGUUGUAGGCCGGCGGAAACUACUUGCCUCUGAGCCACAAACCAUGCAAUAGACUGC
rnacentral:precursor_RNA from 12 species